rnacentral:lncRNA from 1 species
AUGACUUUAUUUUUAUUGGUCCAACAUGAAUCAAAUGACAAAUUAGUUCAUCCUAGCGUUUGCCCGCCAAAGCUCACAAUGAACAUAAAUGAGUAGUUAUUCGAAUGAUAUAAGGCAAGAGUAAAGAUUUAAAUUGGUCUUUGAGAGAAAAAAAAAGACCCAUUUCUCAUAUGGGAAAUGAAAAACAUCAAUUUGAUCAUCAAAAAGUUUCAAAUGAUAGUCAAAUUAAUGAUUAAUUAAGACAAUGUUUAACAACAUUUUAAUCUCAAUCAAAACUAAUUUAACCGACAUUUAAUAUAUUUGAGGAUCAAAUUAAUACUUUUCAUUUCUAAAAAAAUAAAUAGGUCUUUGUAUUUUUUUUCUCAAUGACCCUUUUAGACUUUUACUCAGAAAACAAUUAACUAAAAAUGAGGGACAACAUUCAAAUUUCCAAAUCCAAACCACUACAAUGUGCAAGUAAUUUGGUUAACCCAAAAGUGAUAGCCAUAGCCAUCCAUCCACCAAGAAGGAACCUAAUAGAAGAUUUUACCUUUGGUGUUUUACCAAGCAUAGCACCAACACCUCCAAACACAACCAAAGCCAAACUAGCUAUUGCCAUAAUCGCAAUAAUCCUAAUCUUAUAAACUCUUAUAAAUGAACCACUAAGUAAAGGAACCAAACCACCAAUAGAAAAUGAGAAUGCAGAAGCUGCAGCAGCUUGCAAUGGAUUAGGCAAUGAUCUUCUUUUCUCCAACUCAAUCUCCAAUUCUUUCUCUUUUCUAUCACUUGUUCCUAAAUCUCUCAUCAUUUGACCAAUUUCAACUUCAUAUUGUGUGUACACAGAAACAAAUUCUCCUAUUGCCAUACCACAUGCUCCUGCAAUUAAUCCCGCAAAACCCGCGACUAACAUUGUUGCACUGUCUGUUUUAACAGCUCCUACACCCAUCAUUAGUGAAGCAACAGAAACUAAUCCAUCAUUAGCUCCUAAUACGGCUGCGCGAAGCCAUUGAGCCCUUUGCCAAUAAUCAAUAUCUGAAGUUUUACAAUUUUCUUUGAUUUUUAUUUGCUUUUCUUCCAUUUCCUUUGUAGGAUUUGGAAUUGUGAUUACUUUGUUUAGUGACUCAGAAUCACAUAUUGUACCAACGGCCAUUGGUACUAAAAAAAAUAAAUUAAGAAAA